GACGAACGCUGGCGGCGUGCCUAAUACAUGCAAGUCGAACGCAGUGGGGACGGGUGAGUAACACGUGGGUAACCUCCCGUAAGAGGGGAUAACAGUUGGAAACAGGUGCUAAACCGAUACGGAUUUAUGUACCCGGGGUGCAUUAGGUAGUUGGUGGGGUAACGGCUCACCAAGGCCACGAUGCAUAGCCGAGCGGAGAGGGUGAUCGGCCACACCGGGACUGAGACACGGCCCAGACUCCUACGGGAGGCAGCAGUAGGGAAUCUUCGACAAUGGACGAAAGUCUGACCGAGCAACGCCGCGUGAGUGAAGAAGGUUUUCGGAUCGUAAAGCUCUGUUGUUAGAGAAGCGGUAUCUAACCAGAAAGCCACGGCUAACUACGUGCCAGCAGCCGCGGUAAUAC
rnacentral:rRNA from 1 species